rnacentral:rRNA from 1 species
UACGUAGGGGGCAAGCGUUGUCCGGAUUUACUGGGCGUAAAGAGCGUGUAGGCGGUCAAAUAGGUCCGUUGUGAAAACUGGAGGCUCAACCUCCAGACGUCGACGGAAACCGCGUGGCUAGAGUCCGGAAGAGGAGAGUGGAAUUCCUGGUGUAGCGGUGAAAUGCGUAGAUAUCUGGAAGAACACCGGUGGCGAAGGCGGCCUUCUGGACGGUGACUGACGCUGAGACGCGAAAGCGUGGGGAGCAAACAGG